UUGUAGCAAUAUUCUUGGCACCAGCUCAAACAGGUCAACAGGUACCUCAGGUGAUGGUACUGUAAAUGAACUCCAUCCUCUGUUUUGCUGUUUGCUGACUCUGGGAAAGGGUGUUGCUUAUGACGGUGGCAUGAGUCAACCAAAUCCUUCCAAGGAUUACCAUAGAAGAUACAGCCUUAUUCUCCUGACCAUCUCCGUCCUGAGACACCCUCAGAAACCUCACUGCUUUUCAAUCCGUCGCACACACAUUCAUCUCAUUUUUUUUUCCUUCACCUUGAGUUCCUUCUUCAAACGUAGCUUCUUUUUUUUUAACAUCGCUCAACAUGACGCAUGUCUUCUACUACGGCCUCCACCCAGUCUCUUGGUUCAUUCUCUUUGCGAAUGUAGCCAUCACCAUAAUAGAAUGGCAUUUCCUUAUUUCUCAGUUUUUGCAAAUGCGAAAGUCUACAAAGGAGGAUGAGUCUAAAUCCUAGAGAGAGCGAUCUAUGGCUCACCAUGAUGCUCCACCAACAGUGAAUAGAUGAAAGUGCAUUUUAAAAUCAGAAUUUACUUGUAGCGCAAAUCAUUGAUGAACGAUCUGUGUACAACACAUGCUAAAUUGAAAGACCUUGUCAUGCACAAGUCAAAGAAAAAAGUAGAGGAGCUGUUUCAAGUCUUCAAGACUGGAUUCUUGGUCCCAAACCAGUGGAGGAUGACACAGAGGAAGGCAGAGCAGACAGUGAAGAAGAAUGACGACUGACUAUCUCUAGUGCGCUAAUGGGAAAAGACAUGCUGAGGAUGGAGAAGGAAAAAGAUGGGCUGGUUCCCGGUUUCCACCUGGGAGAUGGAGAGUUUCAUCAUCCAUCCACUCACUCCUGCUCCACUGAGAACUGCCAUCUCAUCAUUGUACCCUGGCGAAAAAAGGAUAUCUCAUAGCGUGACCUUCACCUGCCCUGUGGCUCCUUAUGUCACUUCCCUCUGAGUUUUUUGUGAAUCCAAUUUAGUCACAGACGUAGUUGAAGUGCAUUUUUGUCACAUCUCAUCUCAGUGCAGUGCCCAGUGUUGUCUCUUUGCCGUAGUGAUGCUGAAGCUUGUUGUAGUUUGUGCUGAACUGACAAGAAAAUCUCCUAACGACAUCAUCAAUGAAAAAGUUGAUGAAACCGCGGUCUACUGUCAAUCGUCUCAUUAUCAUGCAUUUUAUUUGGAGAUUGUAAAUCUAAAAAUUGCAUAACUUGAAGGCCCUUCAAUGGAUGGGAUAAAUCUGUAACAUAUUAAUCAUUUUAAUUAUGAAAUUGAAUUAAAUUUCUGUUCAUUUUUCCAUAAAUGUCAUUUAAUCGUGUUCAUGCUUGUUGCUGUAAUGUGUUACCGAUGAAAACGUACAUGUGUUUUCCUGUUCUGAUUUCUGGAUCAAACUUUCUCUCCAGUAAACAACCCACUAAUACA